rnacentral:rRNA from 1 species
AGAAUGAACGCUAGCGAUAUGCUUAACACAUGCAAGUUGAACGUUGUUUUCGAAUCAGAAUGAGAACAAAGUAGCGAACGGGUGCGUAACACGUGGGAAUCUGCCGAACAGUUUGGGCCAAAUCCCGAAUGAAUAAAAGCUAAAAAGCGCUGUUUGAUGAGCCCACGUAGUAUUAGGUAGUUGGUUAGGUAAAAGCUGACCAAGCCUACGAUGCUUAGCUGGUCUUUUCGGAUGAUCAGCCACACUGGGACUGAGACACGGCCCCAGACUCCUACGGGAGGCAGCAGUGGGGAAUCUUGGACAAUGGGCGAAAGCCUGAUCCGGCAAUAUGGCGUGAGUGAAGAAGGGCAACGCAGCUUGUAAAGCUCUUUCAUCGAGUGUGCGAUUGUGACAAGACUCGAAUAAGAAGCCCCGGCUAACUCCGCGCCAGCCAGCCGC